GGAAUGAGAGUACCAAUGCACCGGAUGUUGACAUCAGAGAAGUGUUAAUACAAGAUUGAGCCGCGCAGAAAAAGCAGACCAUUUAUUGUACAUGGAUUGCGCAGCUUGAUCGAAAGAGUGAUUCGGAUCAAAUACUGCCUCCCAUACUUUUCAGCCAUCCUUGCAGAGGAGUUCCGCAGUCUUCUUUUAAGCCUGAAGUGGUCUCGUGCAAUAAGGUUGAUGUAAAAGAGGGUUUGCGUCACACACCCUGAGACUACAUCCACUGUCAACAGUGUCAGCAUCUGGAGGAUUUUCAUUUUUUUGCCUCCUCUGUCUUCGGAGAUGGUGGCACCAGGGCGUCGGAGUCAUUUUGUCACUUUAUAACGCUGACAGAGAGUCCGUAUCCAUCUGAUCCAUCAUGACAGAUAUUUUUCUUCAUGAUGCAGCAUUUGCCGAGGGAGAGAGCCUGAUACUCAGACGAGCACAGCAUAAAUAUAAAUCAAGAUCCAGGACUCAAGUUUCAUACACAAUUAGAGGUAUGUAUAAGGUUCAUGAAAAACACAAAUUUGCCUAAUUCUGAGGUGAGUAAAAUUAUGAGUAUAGGAAUGAGAGUACCAAUGCACCGGAUGUUGACAUCAGAGAAGUGUUAAUACAAGAUUGAGCCGCGCAGAAAAAGGUAUGGCUAAGGUGAUUGGCUGAAUUAAUUGCUGAAAUAAUGAUUAUUUCAAAGUAAAUUUAUCACUGUUUAAAAUGAAUGAUGGAUUGAAGAAGUACUGCAAAAAGUGAAGAAAUAAGAGGGGUUGAAAUAGGGGGUGGGUGUCAAUUUUGGGACUUGGAUUUAUUUGCUGCGGAUCGCUGUAAGUUGUAAACAAGCUCAAUUUUGACCUAUAAACGCCACGGGACCCUAUGUAUUUCUAUUGAUUUUGUGUUAGUGCUUGGAAUGAACUUUCAAAUGUGACCAAGGAUAUGUCUGUAAGUAUAAUAGCAAACUAGCCAGGUGGGUUUAGGUUAACAUUGAGCCCUAUGGGAAAUGAAUUGGUACUCUUUUCC